ensembl:lncRNA
UUUGAAGAGCUAGGAGAAAGGUCCUCUUGGCUAAGCCCAGGUCUUGUGACUGGCUCCUGGCUGUUCCAGGCACUAAAAGGAAGGAUCUGGCUGACAAGACCCUUCAGCAUUUGUUACUGAAGGUUUCCACCUGCAUUUUCUUUCCACCCAAACUACCCACGGCGGAGGACAAGCAAUGCGCCCAAAUGGAAUCACGGUGCUGUCAGGAGGGACUGUGAGCGCUUGGAGACCACAGAGUGCCAAAGGUUUAUUCUAACUUUUCUUCAUUUGAUAGUGGUUCACUAAUUAGCACUCUCUGGCAAUGGCCAUUCAGCCAGAAAGAGAUCUACUCAAUUGUCCAGGAACAUAGAUCCAUCUGCCCCACCAAGAUGUGUUAACAAACUGACAAAUAGCCUUGCUGAAAUGCAGGAUUGGUGGUGCAAACUAGGGAAAAGAAAUCUGGAGGAUGAGUUGAGUUGCUCUGAAAAAGAUCAGAAAGGGAAAUGGAAGACCUCCUGCCAUCUGAAGAAAUCUGAGAGGGAGAGAAGAAGAUGAAGGCAAGAAAAGGCAGGUUCUUCUAGUCAUGAUCAAUGGAAAUAAUGAGCCAGCACCAUAUCAUGGGCACACGCAAGCAGCUUGUGGAGAGGUCCCCGCAGUAAGGAACUGAGGUCUCCUACCAAUAACAGGCACUGACUCCCCAGCCAUGUGAUGGAGCCACCUUGGAAAUGGAUCCUGCAGCCCAGUCAAGCCUUUGGACGAAUGCAGCUCCAACUGACAUCUUGACCAUAACCUUAUGAGAGAUCCUGAGCCAGACCCACCAGAUAAGCCACUCUCAAAUUCCUAAACUACAGGAAACAUAAGUAUAAUAAAUAUUUAUUGUUGCUUUAAGCCAUUAAGUUUUGGAGUAAUUUGUUACACAGUAGUAGCUAACUAAUGGAGUCCUAGUGGUAUUGACCUGCAGCCCCCCAUAGCUGUACACUUCUCAUCAACCCCUUCCCUGUGCUGCCUUAGAUCACCUCCAAAGAAAACCACCUGCGUUCAAAAUCUUAUCUCAGGGUUUGCUUUUGGAAUCGAAGAAAUCCCAGAGAAGGUAAAUAUUAUUAUUAUCCUCAUUUUAGGGAUGAGAAAAAACACACGUAGGUUAGAGUUACACAGCAAAUAGUGGCAGAACAGAGGUUUUCUGAGUCCUCAUCCACUGCUUCCUGUUUCAUCACAGCGGCUUCUCCCUCCCACCCCAAUCCUUUCCAAUUUCAAGCAAUCUCUCUUCUCUCCCCAAGAACACUGUUAAUUUGCUCAUUCGCUGUGGACCGAGACACUCAUCAUAACCACAAAAUUUAAAAACCAAUCUAAGCAAAUUCAGUAACAAAAGCAGGAACUUUGAGUCACUCAAGUCUCAGUGCAUUUAUUUUUCCUAAUGAUACCUACACACAGCAGGGAGAAAUAAUUAGCAAAUUAAUGGGUUAUUCCUCUGUUGACAUUCAUGCAAAGGCUAGAUGUGACUCCCUUGUUCUAUGUCUUACAGGCUCUGGCCUGAAACUGCUGACCAACAUCACUGGUAAUUUAUUGAAGUUAUGAACAAAUGCCCGUGCUGCGUGGGCAAGAAAUAAAGAUGAAGCCUAAAUUUGCUAUGCUUUCUGUUCUGAUCAAAUAAAAUGUACAGCCAACUUCAUCUGUCAGAUAUUUAAUCAUAAUCAUUAUUGUGCUAUGUGGUAAUUAGGCAUAAAUGGAACAUAAAUGACUCUUGAUAGCACCAUUUUAUAUAUCAAACUGUAAUUUUUGUGUUUUUCUUCUCCCUUUGACAGUUUUCCAGUACCCAUCUCUACUCAGUGUCACUGUGGUUGGUUUCCCCUGAGUCAGAGUGGUCGAAGAGAAACAUAUGGGCUUUGGAACCCGACAAAUCACUCAGGCUGUAUUACCUUGAUCAAGUCACUUUACAUCUCUGGGCCUCUUGUAUAAAAUGGAGAUGAGGCCUCUCCAGUAGGAUUGCUAUGAGAAUCAAAUGAGAAGCUGAAAAGCAAUGACGGGCAAAGUGUUCAUAUGCAGUAGGUGC